rnacentral:rRNA from 1 species
UGGGGAAUAUUGGGCAAUGGGCACAAGCCUGACCCAGCAACGCCGCGUGAGGGAAGAAGGCUUUCGGGUUGUAAACCUCUGUCCUUGGUGACGAAGAAAGUGACGGUAGCCAAGGAGGAAGCCCCGGCUAACUACGUGCCAGCAGCCGCGGUAAUACGUAGGGGGCGAGCGUUGUCCGGAAUUACUGGGCGUAACGGGUGCGUAGGUGGCCUGUUAAGUUGGAUGUGAAAUCCCCGGGCUUAACUUGGGGGGUGCAUCGAAUACGGGAUGGCUAGAGUGCAGGAGAGGGAAGCGGAAUUCCUAGUGUAGCGGUGAAAUGCGUAGAUAUUAGGAGGAACACCAGUGGCGAAGGCGGCUUUCUGGACUGUAACUGACACUGAGGCACGAAAGCGUGGGGAGCAAACA